UCCUACGGGAGGCAGCAGUGGGGAAUAUUGGACAAUGGGCGGAAGCCUGAUCCAGCAACGCGGCGUGAGGGAUGACGGCCUUCGGGUUGUAAACCUCUUUCAGUACCGACGAAGCGCAAGUGACGGUAGGUACAGAAGAAGCACCGGCCAACUACGUGCCAGCAGCCGCGGUAAUACGUAGGGUGCGAGCGUUGUCCGGAAUUAUUGGGCGUAAAGGGUUCGUAGGCGGUUUGUCGCGUCGGGAGUGAAAACGCCGUGCUUAACACGGCGCUUGCUUUCGAUNNNGGCAGACUAGAGGUAUUCAGGGGAGAACGGAAUUCCUGGUGUAGCGGUGAAAUGCGCAGAUAUCAGGAGGAACACCGGUGGCGAAGGCGGUUCUCUGGGAAUGACCUGACGCUGAGGAGCGAAAGUGUGGGGAGCGAACAGGAUUAGAUACCCUGGUAGUCCACACCGUAAACGUUGGGCGCUAGGUGUGGGGUCCAUUCCACGGAUUCCGUGCCGCAGCUAACGCAUUAAGCGCCCCGCCUGGGGAGUACGGCCGCAAGGCUAAAACUCAAAGGAAUUGACGGGGGCCCGCACAAGCGGCGGAGCAUGCGGAUUAAUUCGAUGCAACGCGAAGAACCUUACCUGGGUUUGACAUACACCCUGCCGCUCCAGAGAUGGGGCUUCUUUUGGGGGUGUACAGGUGGUGCAUGGCUGUCUCAGCUCGUGUCGUGAG
rnacentral:rRNA from 1 species